rnacentral:misc_RNA from 1 species
AGUGUUGUUUGAUUUUUUUUUUUUUUUUUUCCCUUUGCGAAAUGGAAGAGAAGCAAAAUUAUGCAUGAUGGUUUUACUGCUACACAAAAAAAUAUAACUAAUUUGGUCAUGCAGUCACUUUAUUUUGGAUUUAUUGAACAUUUUAAUAGUUUUGAUGUUUUAUCAUACUUCAUUCUAUUUCACAUUUCCAAUAUUCUUGGUUUAACCAUUCUCCACUCCCUGGUCUCAUUGAAAGGUAUUAUCUUGGAAUCUACAGUUUUCUAGGCCAGCCCUCACUUCUUUUUAUUAUUUUUUUUUUUUUUGAAAGCUUUCCCUCUCUUAAACUGAAAUGGCAAAAUGGAUUGGUUAACUAGUCACUGGAUGCUCUAAAGGUUAACAUUUGGUGCCCAAUUCUCGGUGAUGUGAGCAAAAUAAGGGGACCCAUCAAAACUUGACGAUACAAGAAAAGAAUUCAUUAAUAGUAUAAGGAUACCACAGUAAUUCAUGAAUAGAAUGGCAUGGAAUUGACACAAUAAUGGGUUCAAGUCGGUUUUCCAUCUUUGCAUCUAGUUAAGGAUAAUAAGACAACAUUUGACAAGAAAGACUAUAUAGUUAAAGGUAGAAGAGGUCUGGCUGCAAAUUGUUUAAAUAAACUUUGCCAUUUAAUUCAAUAAUUCAGGCACCUAAUAUUUGACUAAAUAAGCC